CAGCUGCCGGGUCCCAACUCGCCUGUGGUUUGCUAGCUCCGGCGAAGGGGAAAGCCCCGGGACUACAGACUCCAACAGUCAGGAAGCUGCAGCGCCGUCCUCCCCUUGUCUCUAGCCCGCAGCUAGCAGUUUCAGUGGAGUCUGGAACUGGGGAGGGGGAAAGCGGGAGCCCAAUAUUGCGCUGCAUUAGUGACAUCAGCUAGCAAGCAGUUACUGACGUUCAAGCCAAGGUUCAUUGACACUCAGCAUUAGGGAGUUAACUAGUUAUAGGCCCGUAGUAUGCUUUCUGGGAGCAAGGGGAACUACCCUGUGCUCCUUACAAUUCAGUUCUCACAUAGCCUUCGUAGGUGGCUAAACUAUUGUAUCUUUAGAGAAGUGGAAACUUAUUUUGUGCUGAGAAACCAGAAUUACUUAAUAAUGUUUUCUACCGUUGUUCCCAUAGUUUUUGCUUACUUCAAGAGUUCUGAGUGAGGCUUUUUGGCUGGAGGUGGACGGGGAUGGAGCAGAGGGGGAAUAUAACUGCCCACAAACUGGAGGACUUCCCUCCCUCUUCCAGGUCCCAGAGGUGAGAGCGCGAAGGAGGAAGAACAGUAUCGGUACAGAGACAAAGGUCGGACAGGAAAAUUGGCUUCGGAUCACCCUUGGCAGCAAGCCCUCCCUCAUGGAGUUCUGCACGGAUCGCUAGGUUUCCACCGACAAACUGAACACGGAGGCAACGGGGGCAGAUGGAAAUCGAGUCUUGGCUUUAUGAGCGCCUUGAAGCGCUCUCCGAUUCAAAAGCUCAUUAAAAACUGAGGGCUGGAUUUCUAUGGCGCUGGGCCUCGGCUGUAAUCCCUGAAUUGGCUUAUAUGCGUUACUCCCCCAGGGCUGACGAAUGUCUCUGCAGGAAGUCUCAGCACGGAAACCAAGGACUACAAAGACAGAAGUCUACCCUUUUACACUGGGCUGCUGUUAUUGCUUUCGGCUGCUUUGUGCUUUCCCUGGAGGGAGAGGAGAAUCAGGCAGUGAGUUUUAUUCCUCUUUACUCUUGCUGGCAAAGGAGGUGGUGGCAUUCAGGUAGCGGCAUGACUAGACCAGUAUAAGUGUGCAAGUGGAGCUCUGAUUAGUUUUGGAGUAGAGAAAAUUCCUAGUCCUCUCAGCUCCCGAGCCAAAGGACAGAGGCUGGGGAGUAGAUAGAAUGACACAAAAUACUAUUAAUAUUUCUGAGAUCUUUAACACAUAUCAGUAAAGUUUUGGAUCGCCUGGGCUUGCUUCAAAUUAGGAAUUUAAUUCAACAGGUAUUUGAGUGCUGGGCACAUUGAGGGGGACACAAUAGAAUUAUAUGAUAUGGUUUAAUCCUUCAAGGAGUUUAUAAUGAAACACAACAUGCAUAUAAAUCAUAUUUUUGUUGUUGUUGUUCAGUGGUUUUCAG
rnacentral:lncRNA from 1 species